GUAGGGCGCAAGCGUUAUCCGGGAAUUAUUGGGGCGUAAAGAGCUCGUAGGCGGUUUGUCGCGGUCUGCCGUGAAAGUCCCGGGGGGGCUUAACUCCGGGAUCUGCGGUGGGUACGGGCAGACUAGAGUGCAGUAGGGGAGACUGGAAUUCCUGGUGUAGCGGUGAAAUGCGCAGAUAUCAGGAGGAACACCGAUGGCGAAGGCAGGUCUCUGGGCUGUAACUGACGCUGAGGAGCGAAAGCAUGGGGAGCGAACAGGAUUAGAUACCCUGGUAGUCCAUGCCGUAAACGUUGGGCACUAGGUGUGGGGGACAUUCCACGUUUUCCGCGCCGUAGCUAACGCAUUAAGUGCCCCGCCUGGGGAGUACGGCCGCAAAGGCUAA
rnacentral:rRNA from 1 species